AUGGCAGUGGUUCUAUGCUAUGUAGAUACAUGUGGGCUAUCAAAUGAGAGGUUUGUUGGUGUUCUUCAUGUGGAGGAAACAACAUCUUCUUAUCUCAAGUCUAAAAUUGAUUUUAUAAUUGCAAAGCUUGGCUUGAAUCUACAACAAGUGAGGGGACAAGGUUAUGAUGGGGCCAGUAAUAUGGCAGUUGAGUUUAAUGGUUUGCAAGCCAAUAUUAUGAGGGAGAAUAGCUCAGCUUAUUACGUACAUUGUUUUGCUCAUAAACUUAACUUGGUUGUUGUGGCCAUUGCAAAAAAGAUAUUUGAUGUUGGAGAUUUCUUUGAUAUGAUAUCAUUAUUGGUGAAUGUCGUUGGAUCAUCUUGCAAGAGAAAGGAUAAACUUAGAGAGAACCAUCAAGAAGAAGCAAGGAAAGCGAUUGGUAAGGGAGAGAUUGCUAUAGGGUCCGGAUUAAACCAGGAGCUUUCUCUUCAAGGACCGGGAGAUACAAGAUGGAAUUCUCACUAUACCACUUUGUCGAGUCUGUCGAAGAUGUUUACCUCGGUGGUAAAAGUUCUAGAGUAUGUGGAGGAAGAGGGCUCAGAUGCUACUAAGCAACGUCAAACUAGUGGUCUUCUAAAAUAUUUUCGGUCAUUUGAUUCUGCAUUCUUUCUACACAUGAUGAUGAUUAUAUUAGCUUUAACAAAUGGGCUGUCAAAAACAUUUCAAAGAAGGGAUAUGGACAUUGUAAAUGCUAUAUCAGAUGUGGAAUCUGUUAAGUGA
rnacentral:rRNA from 1 species